CUCUUUUACUUACCAGAUCACUGGUUUAUCAUAAAAGGAUGUAACUCGGGAACAGCCAGACGGAAGAGAUGUAGAGGGCAAGAUUCUCCAAGAGUUUCCUGAGAAGUAUGUGGGUCAUCUAUGUUUUUGAGCACUUGUAUCUUUGAAAAUAACUUCAUUUGAACCUGAUACUUUUUGGCUGGGUCUGAAGUUCCAGGCUGGAAAUAACUUCUCUUCGGCUUCUCGAAGGCAGAUCUCCCCGUCGUCUUGGCUGUUUGCACUGCAGGGGGCGUGGACAGAAAAAAGAUGUUUAAAACAGGACUGUUGUAAAACUACCCAGUAAAACAGACCUUCCCAGAAACACCCACUGGAAGAGUUCAUGGCUGUGCAGGCACUCAUGAUACGGACUUCCCUGGUGGCGCAGUGGUUAAGAAUCCGCCUGCCAGUGCAGAGG